rnacentral:rRNA from 1 species
UACGUAGGGUGCGAGCGUUGUCCGGAAUUAUUGGGCGUAAAGGGCUCGUAGGCGGUCUGUUGCGUCGGGAGUGAAAACUCAGGGCUUAACCCUGAGCCUGCUUCCGAUACGGGCAGACUAGAGGUAUGCAGGGGAGAACGGAAUUCCUGGUGUAGCGGUGAGAUGCGCAGAUAUCAGGAGGAACACCGGUGGCGAAGGCGGUUCUCUGGGCAUUACCUGACGCUGAGGAGCGAAAGUGUGGGGAGCGAACAGG